rnacentral:rRNA from 1 species
GAUGAACGCUGGCGGCGUGCCUAAUACAUGCAAGUCGAGGGGAAACGACAUCGAAAGCUUGCUUUUGAUGGGCGUCGACCGGCGCACGGGUGAGUAACGCGUAUCCAACCUGCCCACCACUUUGGGAUAACUUUGCGAAAGUAAGACUAAUACCCAAUGACGUCUCUAGAAGACAUCUGAAAGAGAUUAAAGAUUUAUCGGUGAUGGAUGGGGAGGCGUCUGAUUAGCUUGUUGGCGGGGUAACGGCCCACCAAGGCGACGAUCAGAAGGGGUUCUGAGAGGAAGGGCCACCACAGUGGAACUGAGACACGGUCCAAACUCCUACGGGAGGCAGCAGUGAGGAAUAUUGGUCAAUGGACGAGAGUCUGAACCAGCCAAGUAGCGUGCAGGAUGACGGCCCUAUGGGUUGUAAACUGCUUUUAUAAGGGAAUAAAGUGAGAGUCGUGACUCUUUUUGCAUGUACCUUAUGAAUAAGGACCGGCUAAUUCCGUGCCAGCAGCCGCCGCAG